GGAGCACUGAACUUGAACGUGACACCCUGCGGGCGUGGCCUCCGGACUUGGCAGUCCAGGUGGAAAUGGGCCUGCUGAAAGCUGGCUCUGUGGGGAGAUUUUCAGCUCGCCCCAUGCCACCCGGCAGCCGGGAGACCUCCGAUCCCAGCCGAUCUUGGGAAGAAGUGAGGGCGUCCUUGGCGGUGUUUCCCUAACCCAGUUCUGGAUUCUGCCUUUCUCCUGUCUCCUGAGGCCAGCCCCAAAGAGAACCAGGGCACAGCCCGGCAGGCUGUUCCAGGGCCCAGAGACGUGGAGGCAGCAGCCCCUGGGGCUCCCCCUCAGGGAAGAAGCCACCUUUGCAGCCUGGGAUGCUUUUCCUGGCGUCAAGAUGGGAAUGCCCACCGGUGACUGACGCUGAUGUUUAGAGAAAGCGUGCAGGUUUGCGCAUUCAUAAAAUGGAAGA